rnacentral:rRNA from 1 species
GGGGACUUUGUUCAUGGGCGCAAGCCUGAUGCAGCCAUGCCGCGUGUGUGAUGAAGGCCUUCGGGUUGUAAAGCUCUUUCUGCAGGGAAGAAAGCGACACGGCCUGUACCCGUGUGGAUUGACGUUACCCAUUACAGAAGCACCGGCUCACUCCGUGCCAGCAGCCGCGGUAAUAA